AGCGCAGGCGGACCGGCAAGUUGGAAGUGAAAACUAUGGGCUCAACCCAUAAAUUGCUUUCAAAACUGCUGGCCUUGAGUAGUGCAGAGGUAGGUGGAAUUCCCGGUGUAGCGGUGGAAUGCGUAGAUAUCGGGAGGAACACCAGUGGCGAAGGCGACCUACUGGGCACCAACUGACGCUGAGGCUCGAAAGCGUGGGGAGCAAACA
rnacentral:rRNA from 1 species